rnacentral:lncRNA from 1 species
CUCGGCUGUACAAACAGCAAUUCCCUGUUGUAAAACCUCUCCCAAACCCUAAUUCGAUCCUCGAACAAACUGCAUCUGCAAUUAACAAUGUCUUCUCGCUAUAGAACGCUCUCCAGACCCGCGGUUAAUCUUCUCAAGUCCGCAAUUUCAACGCCUUCAUUGAGUCCCGCAUCUAUCCAAUCCUCACGCUCAUCUCCAUCUCUUUUCUCAAGGUUGUUCCCCCCACCCCGCACCCCCAUCCAAAACACUAAAUACAUUCCUUAACAAAGCCAUUUGUUAUUUUUGAAUCAAGAUUCAGUUUUGAACAUUCAUUUGUUAUCUCAUGUGGGUUUUGUUUAAAAUGGGUUUCUUGACCUUUUUUAUUUUUUAUUUUUCAAAACCGUAAAAACAAUUCCUCCUCGAUUGAAUGCCGUUCCGUUUUGUAUUCUUAACACAAGAUUCGAUUUUGAAUUGUAAUUUUCAGGGUCGAAAUGCUAAAUAUUUAAGACUUUUAUAUUCUUGAAAUUUUACUUUUGAAUUUUAGGCCAUUAGCUCAGAUUGAUGCAUUUCAGUCUCUACUACCUCUCCACACAGCUGUCUCCUCUGCUCGGCUUACCUCUUGCCUUGGGGCCGACACCAAAGGCCGCCGGUCGCUAUCUCAGGGUAUGCUCUGCAGUGCCAACCAUGGAGUUUGAUAAAUUUUAUAAUGUUUCUGUAAGCAUACUACUUUUAUCUUUAAUAGUUCCUUCCAAGUUGGUAGAUUUCUGUGAUUCUUUUGUUUUUUCAUUUAUGAGUUACUGAGUAAAUUAUCGUGUUCCUUUGUUUACAUGUACAUUAUGUGGGAUUGAUACAGGUGAUCAUGUUUGGCUAUGCUCAAUAAUAAGUCUCUAGAAAGGAAGUCUAUAAAACUAAGUGUUGUUAAUUAUGUUUAGCAAAAGAAGUAAGUUUGACUUACUUUUAAUGAGCCAGAAUGUAUUUGAUAGGUAAUUUCUAGUUUAACUAAAAUGAAACAUGGAUAGAGAGAGAGAGAGAGUUAUGGCAUGUGAUGACAUGCAUGAGGAGAGAUGUGGAGAGUAAGUGGUUAAUAUACAUCAUUCCAGAAUCCAUAAUGGAAAAGCUCGUUGUGUGGAUGUUGUACGCUCUUUAUUCUGCACUGUGCACAGUGCGUCUCUGGUUGCAAUUGUGACCUAUCAUCAAGCUCUUGUGGUAUAUUUUGACUCCUUGCUUGUCAUGAGUGUUGGUUGGGGUUGCUUAAGUUGUUGCCUAUAAGGGUCGCCUAUGACAUGUAUGAUCCAAUACGAUAAUUUUGUUGAAAGUUUUAACUUUAUAGCAGUUUGGCAACUUGUGCUAUAGAUUCUAGAUAUCUGUAUCGUCAAACUAUCUUUUUCAAAUGAAAUGUCUCGGUUUAACGAAAGCAAUCAAUAAGGCGAGAUUAUAACGUCUUUUUUUUCCCCAUUCAGAUGAUUUGAGGUUUUUAGGUAAAUAAUAAUUUGGGUGUAAAAUGUAGAUGCUACAUGAUGGAAGGAAAAUUGGUAAUUAUGCCGGGAGCUGGCUUUCAUUGGAAGUUUAGGUUUUGGGUGUAGGUAUUCUUUUAUUUUCUCGGACUAUUUUAUAUUUCAGUUCUUUUAACUCAUGUUUUAAACUUGUUUUUUGUUGAAAUUGUAAUUUUGGAGUGUAGGGUUGUGAUGUAGCCUAUUGAGGUCACAGUUCUCUAGCAUCGGUUGAGUUUCAAAUCAAAUCAUAAAACCCAACGGCCAAUAUACAUUUAUUAAUUUGUAAACUUCCGAGCAAGUGACGAAUUUGAUGUUUCUAUGGGUAAUUUUGCCCAAAUAGUGCAAAAGCGAGCUAUUAUCUUCUUUCUCUGCUUCCUCCUCCUCCCCUCCAUAUAAUCCUCAAAUCUUAAUUCUCUUAUGCUGUUCAUUUUACUACAUUAUCUUUGAUACAUUUAAACCCUAUGUAACAAUGCUCAACCAUCACCAACAAAAAGUUUGAUGUAUGUACACUUGGUGCAUGUUGGGUACACAACACUCGAUAGGACUUAAUAGUAUAAUAAACAAGAUUUUAGCUUAUUUUUCUCAGUACCAUCAAGAGCUAUCCAACCAUUUCUACCAAUCAUGCAGUCCGAGUUUAUCUGUUGUGCUCAUAAAUUCUCGUUGUCUGCAAUGCUUCAUAUGUACAAUUGAUAGCCUAUGAAUUUUCAUGAUUAUAAGGUUAAUUAGAAAACAUAACUUUUUCACCCAACUAUUUUUGUGUGUG